rnacentral:rRNA from 1 species
GGUGCAUGGCCGCUUUUGGUCGGUGGAGUGAUUUGUUUGGUUGAUUCCGUCAACGGACGAGAUCCAAGCUGCCCAGUAGGAUUCAGAAUUGCCCAUAGGAUAGCAAUCCCUUCCGCGGGUUUUACCCAAGGGGGGGCGGUAUUCGCUUGUAUCCUUCUCUGCGGGAUUCCUUGUUUUGCGCAAGGUGAGAUUUUGGGCAACAGCAGGUCUGUGAUGC